CUCGUAGUUGAAUUUCGGGGUCAGUAGAUUGGUCGUGCCACUGGUAUGCACUGGUCUUACUGGCUCCUCCUUCCUGAUGAACCGUAAUGCCAUUAAUUUGGUGUUGCGGGGAAUUUGGACUGUUACUUUGAAAAAUUAGAGUGUUUAAAGCAAGCUAACGCUUGAAUACAUUAGCAUGGAAUAAUGAAAUAGGACGUUCGAUCCUAUUUUAGUUGGUUUCUAGGGAUUGACGUAAUGAUUAAUAGGGAUAGUUGGGGGCAUUAGUAUUCAAUUGUCAGAGGUGAAAUUCUUGGAUUUAUUGAAGACUAACUACUGCGAAAGCAUUUGCCAAGGAUGUUUUCAUUAAUCAAGAACGAAAGUUAGGGGGAUCGAAGACGAUCAGAUACCGUCGUAGUCUUAACCAUAAACUAUGCCGACUAGGGGAUCGGAUGAUGUUAAUUUUUUAAUGACUCAUUCGGCGCCUUACG
rnacentral:rRNA from 1 species